rnacentral:lncRNA from 1 species
AGCUCGAACAUCGUGCAGGUGUUUGGUGGGGUUGAGGUGAAUUAUAUGACCAGAGUCGCGAUAGUGACUUCCCGAAAAAAGGGAGAAAUAUGUUUAUUGUUCUAAUCAAAAGGGUGAGAGAGAACUGGGACGAAAGAAAGAGCAGUUGGUUGCAGAUUGUCAAAGUUUUCGGAGGUGAUUCGGACGUGCUCACUUACUACCAUAAGUCGGGCUCUGAUCGUCAAAAGAAAGUUGGUAUAAUAUCCCCGAAAAACGAGAUACUUCUCGUCUCGAUCGACGGGCAGACAGCAGAAACUCCGACAAGUGCCAGAUCUUCGACCAGCUCUCCUGUUCCUCG